UCUCUCUCUCUCUCUCUCUCUCGUCAUAUUGUUUGGUGAAGCAUUAGUACCCAUUAAUUAACACUAUUGAAGUUUCUUACAUUCCAAGUAAAAGUUGCAAUUUCACAUACACCAUAAUUUUAAUACAUAGGUAUGUGUUCCAAAAGAUGGACAGAGAAACAAUUGGUUUGGGUUUCAAAUGGUCUCGGUACAUGCGAACCAACGGGAAUAAACCCUCAGCAGCAGCGGCUGGGGCUAUGGCCUACGGGCCAGCAGUGGCUCAGUGCGCCUCAUGCUGCUGCGGAUGAAGGGGUGAAGAGUAACUCGGUGUGCAGAAUGUGGACUGAGGAAAAGGAAGAGGAACUCAGACACUUUGUUGAUGAUGACAUAAACCAGGAUCUAGUGAUUCAUCAUCAAAAGGCAGUGGCUAACUGUCAGCCAAGAAAAGAAAGACAUCUCGAAAGGGGAAUGAGGCACCUCCUUGACAGCAGCAGGUUGUCACUGUCUUGACUGAAAACAUUACAGACCUGAAGAAGAAAAAAAAAAAAAAAAAAAACCACCCUCCCAUGCCUUUGGGGAAUAUAUUGCAUUGCAGUUAGAUACUAUCAGUGACCCACACAAAUGGCCAUUAGUAGCUACUAGAGUAAUGCAGUUUCUUCAUGAAUGCAUGUUUAAAAUUCAAUGAUAUGCAAAUAAAUAGCAGAUGCUACUAUGUUUCCAUUUAUCUAUAAGAUGCUAUGACAGUUCAGCAGACAUGGGCAUGAUUAUAAAACAUUAUUAUGAUUUGAUUUUGAUUAUGGUCUGAAAUACUUUUUUGAUUUUGAUUAAAUUAUGAUUACUUUAGUUUUGCUAUUUUUUUAUUAUGAUUAUUUUUUCUUUUUGUGCAUGAUUAGGAUUAGAUUAGGAUUAUAAUCACAUUUCACUGUGAUUAUUUAUAAAAAGAUGAUUAGCAAUGAUUAAAUACAAUGCCUAAAAAGGUAGCAAACUACAUCUAUUAGGUGCACUGUUCCAUAUCUGAGCACAGUAAUAUAACAGUUUUAAAUCACUUACUAACUAAUGGUAUUAAAAAUGUACAUUGUGUGUAAGAGGUUUUAUUUGUUUUUGCUUUACAGUACAUAAUACAUCACUUCUAUGAAUUUAUUUCAAAUCAUGAUCACAGGCUUUCACAGCAAUAAUGAAAACAAAGUAUUUCUCUUUGAAAAAUAUAAAAUUUGUUAUACACAGGAUUUCUUGUAGGCUAGAUUAUUUCUCAUGUAAUGUCUAAUUUACUGUGUAUUGGUUACACGAUAAACAUCAAUUCCUCAAAGCAAACAUUGGUCAUUCUGUAUCAUUCAGGAUGAAAGACUUUUCCAGCAAUAGAGAAAAGUCUCUCAGCUGGAGCUGAUGAUAUUGGGAUACACAGAUAUCAGAAAGCCAGUAUAGUUAGUUGAGGUAAUGUUGACUGAUUCUAUUUCCAGAAGAGAAGGGGAUCACUGUCAUCCUCUGUUCUUGGCUGACUCAGGUACCGAUGUGAAAUGACUCCAUGCCAUCAGUAUCACACGCUGCAGGGCCCAUCGUGAUGCCAAGGGGUGGGUGCUCAUUAAUACAGUUACACAUGCUGCAGGAAUGUUGUCUUGCUCCCUGGUGAACCUCUAAGCCACACAGAUGUCAUCACUCAUGCUAUUCAUCUGACGCCUGGGUCCAGACCAUCUUAUAGCUACAGGGUGCCACACAGCUAUUGUGUUCUGCUUGAUGACGCUGUGCGAGGUAUGUUACUUCAGGAUAUAGUGGAGCCUGCCUGUUCACCUCAUAAUGCUCCCUUGUUGCUCAUUCCAAAGAAACAAGGCAAUUGGCACGUGUAGCCGCCGUAUACGCACAACUUACACGACGGCUAGAGAUACAUUGUACUGUGACAUUUUAUGUUUUCUUUGUUAGCGUUAUAUUAUUUGUAGUGACUGGUUGUUAUACAUGAGUAGUGUAUGGAGUGUAGGGCACGCCCACGCGCCAGCACAACAGAGUGAGAGGGAAACGUAGGGCCGAGGGGACACGUUGAACUUGCCCUCUCAGCUAUUUCUCUCAUCGACGGGUCGGUUGUUAUGACGUGAGCGCUGAUAACAAACCUGCAGCAUAAUGAACAUCAUAUGCCGUAGGGGCCCAGCAGAGUCUCCAAAGCCACUUCACGACAGUCACGCCUACACGUUAGACGUGUCUUGGGAAGCGCGGAGAAUCCCGGUAAAUCCCCAAGUGUUCCUCAUCCCGGUAAAUCUCCUUGCAUACAAUCAUGUUCCUCAUCCCGGUAAAUCUCCAAGUGUAAUCCUUGCAUACAACCAAGAGGACGUAAAUCUCCAAGUGUAAUCCUUGCAUACAACCAAGAGGACGCCUGUUCUGCACUGUGUAUGUAUUCAUCAUAGUAUUAGGAUAUUUAUGUAACCAUGAGGUUUUGAUGAUGUGUGUCAAUAUAAUUAAUGUGACUUAUAGUGAUUAGAUACUUAAAUUGUGGGGAUUUAGAGACAUAUGUGUUAAUAUAAGUACACAACGUAACAUAAUGACGUACAUCAGAUCACGCAGACGAGAGGGCGACUUGCUGUGUUUGUGCUGGUGGUGUUCAUCUGUAGAACUGACUGAACCCGACGAGAAGGUGACUUGCUGUGUUUGUGCGGGUGGUGUUCAUCUGUAGAACUGACUGAACCUACUAAAGUGUAGGUAACUCUGUAUUGACUUAUAUAUUGUACAGAAUUGACGACGUGAAGUGUCACGACAAUGAUGUACUGCAAUACCUGUGUUUCCUAUGAUAUACUCCUUUGUGUUACUCCCAGUAUUAGUGAUAAUAUGUUAAUUCGCAGAUUUGACCGCUUCUGAAUACAAAGAGCACGUACUG